rnacentral:rRNA from 1 species
AACGUAGGAGACGAACGUUAUCCGGAGUUACUGGGCGUAAAGGGCGUGUAGGCGGUUUGUUAAGUCUGGCGUGAAAGCUCUCGGCUAAACCGGGAGAGGUCGUCGGAUACUGGGCGAACUAGAGGAUGGUAGAGGCGUGUGGAAUUCCGGGUGUAGUGGUGAAAUGCGUAGAGAUCCGGAGGAACACCAGUGGCGAAGGCGACACGCUGGGCCAUACCUGACGCUAAAGCGCGACAGCAUGGGGAGCAAACGGG